GACGAACGCUGGCGGCGUGCCUAAUACAUGCAAGUUGAGCGAUGAAGAUUGGUGCUUGCACCAAUUUGAAGAGCAGCGAACGGGUGAGUAACGCGUGGGGAAUCUGCCUUUGAGCGGGGGACAACAUUUGGAAACGAAUGCUAAUACCGCAUAACAACUUUAAACAUAAGUUUUAAGUUUGAAAGAUGCAAUUGCAUCACUCAAAGAUGAUCCCGCGUUGUAUUAGCUAGUUGGUGAGGUAAAGGCUCACCAAGGCGAUGAUACAUAGCCGACCUGAGAGGGUGAUCGGCCACAUUGGGACUGAGACACGGCCCAAACUCCUACGGGAGGCAGCAGUAGGGAAUCUUCGGCAAUGGACGAAAGUCUGACCGAGCAACGCCGCGGGAGUGAAGAAGGGUUUCGGAUCGUAAAACUCUGUUGGUAGAGAAGAACGUUGGGGAGAGUGGAAAGCUCAUCAAGUGACGGUAACUACCCAGAAAGGGACGGCUAACUACGUG
rnacentral:rRNA from 1 species